AGCGAACGCUGGCGGCAGGCUUAACACAUGCAAGUCGAGCGGGCAUAGCAAUAUGUCAGCGGCAGACGGGUGAGUAACGCGUGGGAACGUACCUUUUGGUUCGGAACAACUGAGGGAAACUUCAGCUAAUACCGGAUAAGCCCUUACGGGGAAAGAUUUAUCGCCGAAAGAUCGGCCCGCGUCUGAUUAGCUAGUUGGUGAGGUAAUGGCUCACCAAGGCGACGAUCAGUAGCUGGUCUGAGAGGAUGAUCAGCCACAUUGGGACUGAGACACGGCCCAAACUCCUACGGGAGGCAGCAGUGGGGAAUAUUGGACAAUGGGCGCAAGCCUGAUCCAGCCAUGCCGCGUGAGUGAUGAAGGCCCUAGGGUUGUAAAGCUCUUUUGUGCGGGAAGAUAAUGACGGUACCGCAAGAAUAAGCCCCGGCUAACUUCGUGC
rnacentral:rRNA from 3 species